CACGCCCUAAACGAUGUCGACUAGUUGUUCGGAGCAGCAAUGCACUGAGUAACGUAGCUAACGCGUGAAGUCGACCGCCUGGGGAGUACGGCCGCAAGGUUAAAACUCAAAGGAAUUGACGGGGACCCGCACAAGCGGUGGAUGAUGUGGAUUAAUUCGAUGCAACGCGAAAAACCUUACCUACCCUUGACAUGCCAGGAACCUUGCUGAGAGGCGAGGGUGCCUUCGGGAGCCUGGACACAGGUGC
rnacentral:rRNA from 1 species